AUGCUAGUGAUGGUGCGGCGAGCCGGAGCUGAUGGUGGGAGAGUUCUUGUUACAACCAUGGCUGCGGUGCACUGGAACCGGUCAACAGCUGAAGCUUCCACACAACGAGGCGUCCAUGAGAAGAGGGACAGCAAGCUGGCAGCGGCGCUAGUGCUGCAGGGGCCGACGACGCUGACGACCGCCAGAUCUAGCGAAGGAGCAGCCCGACAGAGGAGGCAUGGUGCGGGGCGGCGAGGUGCGGAGUCGCGGUGGCAAUUUGGACUGGUGGGGCGGGGGUACUGCAACCGUGAACCUAACUUGCUGGAACCGGCGAGAAAAUUUGCUAGAACCAGCAACCAAAAAUACUACUACUGGAGUUCAUCCUCAGGGCGUUGCUACGACCACAUCCUGUUUUUGCUACCACCGGCAUUUUCUUUUGCUACAUGCAUGCACGGCGGUGUUGGUUGA
rnacentral:rRNA from 1 species